CAGAAAUAUGAUGAUUGUUAUCCAUAUAAAUCUGUAAUCUAAAUGAUGAUUUUAAAUUACAUGCACUACCAUCUGAUUUCUC